rnacentral:rRNA from 1 species
AGAGUUUGAUCCUGGCUCAGAUUGAACGCUGGCGGCAGGCCUAACACAUGCAAGUCGAACGGUAACAGGAAGCAGCUUGCUGCUUCGCUGACGAGUGGCGGACGGGUGAGUAAUGUAUGGGGAUCUGCCCGAUAGAGGGGGAUAACUACUGGAAACGGUAGCUAAUACCGCAUAAUCUCUAAGGAGCAAAGCAGGGGAACUUCGGUCCUUGCGCUAUCGGAUGAACCCAUAUGGGAUUUGCUAGUUGGUGAGGUAAUGGCUCACCAAGGCGACGAUCCCUAGCUGGUCUGAGAGGAUGAUCAGCCACACUGGAACUGAGACACGGUCCAGACUCCUACGGGAGGCAGCAGUGGGGAAUAUUGCACAAUGGGCGCAAGCCUGAUGCAGCCAUGCCGCGUGUAUGAAGAAGGCCUUCGGGUUGUAAAGUACUUUCAGCGGGGAGGAAGGUGUUGAGGUUAAUAACCUCAGCAAUUGACGUUACCCGCAGAAGAAGCACCGGCUAACUCCGUGCCAGCAGCCGCGGUAAUAC